rnacentral:rRNA from 1 species
UUUUGCUCAAUGGGCGAAAGCCUGAAGCAGCAACGCCGCGUGAGGGAUGAAGGCCUUCGGGUUGUAAACCUCUUUUCUCAGGGACGAUGAUGACGGUACCUGAGGAAUAAGCCACGGCUAACUACGUGCCAGCAGCCGCGGUAAUACGUAGGUGGCAAGCGUUGUCCGGAUUUACUGGGCGUAAAGAGCGCGCAGGCGGCCGAGUAAGUCGAAUGUGAAAGCCCCCGGCUCAACUGGGGAACGUCAUUCGAUACUGUUCGGCUCGAAGAUAGGAGAGGGAAGCGGAAUUUCAGGUGUAGUGGUGAAAUGCGUAGAUAUCUGAAGGAACACCAGUGGCGAAGGCGGCUUUCUGGCCUAUUCUUGACGCUGAGGCGCGAAAGCUAGGGGAGCGAACGGG